UGGGGAAUCUUAGACAAUGGGGGCAACCCUGAUCUAGCCAUGCCGCGUGAGUGAUGAAGGCCUUAGGGUUGUAAAGCUCUUUCAGCUGGGAAGAUAAUGACGUACCAGCAGAGAGCC
rnacentral:rRNA from 1 species